rnacentral:lncRNA from 1 species
CCCGACUCUACACAAACACCAAUUAUAACAUGAUGUAGACAACUGAAAAACAAGCAAAUGUAUCCUUAAAAUGCUAAAAUAAAGUACAUUUAUACAAGUACAAAGCAAAACAGAGCUGAUAAAAAUGUUAAAUUUUAUGAAAAAACUCAUUUGCAAUUCACAUCGAAAGAACUGUACAUUCGCUAUUGUCUUAAUAGUAUAUAAGCAGCAACAACAUAAAAAGAACAUACGGCCACACAAUGUCCAAAACCAAAUCCAUUAUAAGUUAUUAGCCCCAAAAUAAUUAUAUUAAUUACAAGCACUUAUAGCCCACACAAAUCUUUGAGAAUUGGCACCAUCUGUCUAAAACAUCUAUAUUCUCUAUAGAUUUCUAAUUACAAACACACUAGCAGCUGCCAUGGAAUCCAAGAAGUACAUAGAAUAUACAUAGUAUAUUUGUUCACAUUUGCCAGAUCAGUGAAAUUCAGCCACUCCACAAUGUGCCUGCUGUCUCCUCCUCCAGGAAAGAGAAAUCACUCCCAGGCACCAUUUCAUCACCAAAGCGAGUACUGAUUCAUCUUAAGCUUUCAUUGAUCUGGAUUUUUUUUUUUUUUUUCACAGUAUAAAAUUAUAAAUGGCAACCACAGAGAUUUUGACAGCUUGAGUGUUAUUAAGAAUUUGCUGCUCAUAGUGAACUCUGAUGACACCAUUUAAGCCUCCAGUAUAUGUAGGCUAUGUUGGGAGACUAGCACAGAAGUUUCUUUUGUUCUGGAAAAGCAUGUUUUCAUUUCUAGUUUUGAAUCAAGUUGUAAAACUGCCACACAACCAUUAUCUGACUCAUUUGUGGACUUUAAAUUACCUGUUUUUCUCAAAAUGAGGAAAAUUGUUAGUAAGAGGAGUAGCUUGGGGAAAACUAGGAUGAUCAAGGAUUCUAACUUUUUUUUUCUUGUACUUGUUUCAGGGAAAUUAAAAAAAAAAUCUUUUGGAGGCAAGAGGGAUCACAUAGCUAGUAAGUGUCUGACAGCAGAUUUAAACUCAGGACCACUUGACUCCAACAUCAGUGCUCCACCCACUGCUCCACCUAGUUGCCCCAUUUUAAGGAAAUCAUACUAGGGUUUUCUCAUACAUCCUUAUCUUAUGUAAAAUUGGCAACAUUUUAAACAUUGAUCUCACAAUGUACUCCUCUCCUGGAAUAUAACUCCUUCUCACUAACCAUUUUAUCCCAUUUCUUCAUUAUGGGACCAAGCUCUUCUUUUCAAUGACUUUUUUUUUUUUAUUAUUUUUUUUUAUUUUUAGAGAAUAAUGACAAUACAUAGUCCUUGAACUUUUUACAAUGUAUAGUACUGUUGGUCCUAACUAGAACACUAUUACACACUUAAGAUAAUGUUUUUAUCUGGGAAACUAAAUGAUUCUAAUAAGGUCAAGUAACCAGGAUACUCCCAUCUACAAAUGUGACUCACAUUCCAGUCCUAAUAAAGAUUCUGAGUCUACCAAGCAUUUUAUAUUUAUUACCUUGACUUCAGCAUCUAACCUUGAAGAAAUUUAUUCUUUAUCACAGAAGGAAUAAUUUACUAAUUUAUCAUGUGAAGAAUCAUAGUUAUUCUAUUAGAUAUAGAAGUUGUCAAAACAAACAUCCAGAUUCAAAGAGCAGGCCAUCUUGCUUUGCACUCACUGGAAAACAUAUAUUCAGCUUUAUAGUUACUUGAAAAUGGGAUUCAUUAUGGAAGUUUGAUUU